GCCGGGAUAGCUCAGUGGGUAGAGCAGAAGACUGAAAAUCCUCGUGUCACCAGUUCAA
rnacentral:tRNA from 1 species